rnacentral:tRNA from 1 species
GGGCCUGCAUGCCGUUGGGGGCGACUGACCCUUGCAAGGUCGGUGUGGUGGGUUCAACUCCCAUCAGGUCCA